UCCUGGAUAAUGGUCAAAGGUUCAAAUCCGCGCAAGUUAGCGUACGCGUAGUUUAGUGGCACUACAUUAAGGCUUCCAGUUCCAAAAGCAGAUAUAGUUGUUAGCCAAAUCUUGCAAAUGCCGAGAGUCCGAUUAACCGCGGAGAUUGCUAUGAAAGGCGACACUGUCAAAUUCAGUGGCCAGAGGCCGGUUGCAACAUGGAGUAAGAAUUGGAUAAUUGGCAGGUGGAUUGCGUUGGUCUUUCUAGUUUUUUUUCUAAUGGUAGUGGACAUACAUUGCUUUGGUCUUCUCCGUAAAUAUAACCCAGAAGACACAGUGUAUGGUUUGUUUAUAAUGGGGUUAGGAAACCUGAUUGGUUUGGGUUUUCUGGGUACACAAGCUCAAGAACUAAUUCAAGAUGCAAAGACCGUAAAGGAUGUUCCUUUCUGGUGUUACGGCUUGGCAAGCUCUAGAUCUAAUUGAAGAAUCAAUGGAAGACCGGGCUAAUAUCAAAUAUGUCUUUCGUGAUUUGUAAAAGGUACACACAUUCAAUCAACGGGGUGAAGCCAAUCAGGUGCUGGCCAAUGGCUGAUGGUCGUGGCUACUGGCUGAGUUGAAAUACCUGGUUAUCCGAUUUGACUAGUGUUCAGUUGCGAUGUCUAUUAAUAUCCUUUAGGUUCUGCUAACCAAUAGAUUUUGAGGACAUCACUAAUCUCACGAGUCUUGGCCUAUCGGUUGUACUAAAUGUUAAUUGGCAAGUCAAAGUGUUGUUCCUGGAAUGCAACCAACUAGGUUAUUAGAGUUCAACUGUUUGUGUGUUGAAGUGAACAUGCACUUGCUUAAUAGUAGUGCACCUUUGGUCGGGAAUUACAAAUAGUUGCUUAUUAUCUUUUGAACUCGUAUCGAGGACAUCUCAGUCCGGCUUCCUCGGGGUUAAAAGUUAUUAUGUUAAAAGAGUGUACAUGUCAUGCCUCAGUGAGAUCUAUCACCAUAGUCUUGCUUGUCACUUCUCCCUUUAUGAGAUGCUAAAAACUUUCUUGGUGCUUCUUGUGAGAGUCUUGCUAUCUUAAGCGAACUACAUGAGAGUCUGGACUCUCUGACUUGAACUGGUAAAUCUCUCAUGUUCUUUGAAGAAAUUAAGCACAGAUAGGCUGUUGAUGUGCAGUGCAACCCAUUCACUCUGCUUUUGAAAUGCUGCCUGUUUCUCCUUCAUAUUGUAACAAUUACAAACCCUUCUAUGUUGUUCGGAAUGUCAGCUGUUUUCAGUUCAUUUUUGCCAAUACUGGAACCUAUGUUUGUCUUCACAUAACUAUGUGGAGACUUUUUAUAGUCGUGCUAUCAUUAAAAUUUACUUCUGGAAAAAUUUCUGUAAAGUUGGAUUUGUUUUAGCCAUCAGUGAGUGACAUGCAGGAUCAGAAUUGUGUUUAACCAAAUUCACUACAAGGCUCAGCAGUAGCUGCGUUGCUAGCUCUGCCUUGUCCGAAUGUGAACUGCAUUUCUUGACAGGGUAUUUUUGGGAAGCUUUUUUGGUGACGGAUUCAGGGGCAUGAGGGAAGCUGGAUGGUUUGUACUAGCAAUGGCUUGGAAGACCUAAUUUAUCAAAACCCUAUUCAUCAGGCUCAAAAUCAAGAGAGUCCGCAUGAUUUGAUAUGAAGUACAAACAAUGGCAUGUAUUAUAUUCGCAUAGCUGGUAACAGACAUAUGGCAUAUUGAUCAGAACUUUUUGAAGAUUGAGCAAAGUUGAGCUUUAUCAAUGGCUGAGUUGGACCUGUAUCUUUACUCUUGGUACACAUGAUAGAGUAGAGUUUAUUACUAAGCUAAAUUAAAACGUGCAUUAACUGGUAGCAGUUUGACCAAAGGUUAGCCUGACUGAGUGCCUCUUUAGAAAAUAUAUGGACUAUCUUUCCGCAUGACUAUAUUUUUUGCCGAUGAGAUUAGAUCUUUAAUCGCCGGCUUGUUUAUGGCAACCAGAUUGCCAGUCGUUGCCAAUCUGGGAACUUAAGUUUUGGCCUUCCUUCUCGGUUCUGUUGAAAUUCAUGUUAAGUUGGACUGUUUUGUGCAGUUGGAGAUUGAUUUGCAGAAUAAUGAUUGUGUUGCCAACUUCACUGUAAAGCUUGGUAGUGUCUUUAUGCCAACAAACGGCAUAAAGAUCUAAACUUGUUAAAGAUUGAGCAGAGUUCUAAUAAAUGCCUCAAGCAUGGAUUACCAUGGAUUGACCAACAUGGUUUACCAUGGAUUGAUGGCAUGAUUCGAGGUUAAGUUGAAGUGAACAAAUAAGCUGAAUGUACUCUAAUUUUGAUGUCCCAGAUGAUCUAUUUGAGGAUGGGGUUGGGGUGUUUAGGACAUUCAUCUUGCAGUCGUCUAGCAUUUAUUUCUCGGCAAAUUAAAGUAGGUUUGUAGUGCCAGACUCAUAAACACCCAAGCAUGCUUGCUCAGCACUGUCAACAGUGGUCAUGUGCCUAGCAACCCCUGUACUAGUAUGUGAAAGGAUUUCAAUCCUGAAAUGCAGGGGGCGUAAUCAUCAAGAGGGUAGAAGUUCAUACAAAAUGAGGGAUGAGUGACUACAAUGUGUAGAAGAACAAGAUCCCUAGUCUCUGCCCCAGAAAUGCAAAGAAGGCACUAAGCAUGUUCCAGCUGUUGCAACUGCUUCUCAGUAUUAGCUUGAUUUUCUUUGAGUCGAGAUUGUACACCGUCCUUCGUGGUUUCUGUGUUAGUGAUAGACUCCUUAAGCAGAAGAUCGGUUCUCCACAUCCCUCUGCACCUCUUCAAAUACAUUUUCAUUUGCAAUAAAUUGAUUCUCUGCAUCCUUCU